CUUCUUARAAGGGACUAUCGGGUAUUUANCCGAUGGAAGUUUGAGNCAAAUANCAGGUCUGUGAUGCCCUUAGAUGUUCUGGNCCGCACGCGCGNUUACACUGAUGAAGUCAACGAGUUAAUUUCCCUUCAUCGGAAAGAUGUGGGUAAUCUUUUGAAACUUCAUCGUGCUGGGGAUAGAGCAUUGCAAUUAUUGCUCUUGAACGAGGAAUCCCUAGUAAGCACAAGUCAUUAGCUUGUGCUGAUUACGUCCCUGCCCUUUGUACACACCGCCCGUCGCUACUACCGAUUGAAUGGCUUAGUGAGGC
rnacentral:rRNA from 1 species